GACGAACGCUGGCGGCGUGCCUUAACACAUGCAAGUCGAGCGGUAAGGCCCUUUCGGGGGUACACGAGCGGCGAACGGGUGAGUAACACGUGGGUGACCUGCCCUCAGCUCUGGGAUAAGCCCGGGAAACUGGGUCUAAUACUGGAUAUGACUCCAUGACGCAUGUUGUGGGGUGGAAAGCCUUGUGCGGCUGAGGAUGGGCCCGCGGCCUAUCAGCUUGUUGGUGGGGGAUGGCCUACCAAGGCGACGACGGGUAGCCGGCCUGAGAGGGCGACCGGCCACACUGGGACUGAGACACGGCCCAGACUCCUGCGGGAGGCAGCAGUGGGGAAUCUAGCGCAAUGGGCGAAAGCCUGACGCAGCGACGCCGCGUGAGGGAUGACGGCCU
rnacentral:rRNA from 1 species